GAUGAACGCUGGCGGCGUGCUUAACACAUGCAAGUCGAACGGAAAGGCCCAAGCUUGCUUGGGUACUCGAGUGGCGAACGGGUGAGUAACACGUGGGUGAUCUGCCCUGCACUUCGGGAUAAGCCUGGGAAACUGGGUCUAAUACCGGAUAGGACGAUGGUUUGGAUGCCAUUGUGGAAAGUUUUUUCGGUGUGGGAUGAGCUCGCGGCCUAUCAGCUUGUUGGUGGGGUAAUGGCCUACCAAGGCGUCGACGGGUAGCCGGCCGGAGAGGGUGUACGGCCACAUUGGACCUGAGAUACGGCCCAGACUCCUACGGGGGGCAGCAGUGGGGAAUAUUGCACAAUGGGCGCAAGCCUGAUGCAGCGACGCCGCGUGGGGGAUGACGGCCUUCGGGUUGUAAACUCCUUUCGCUAGGGACGAAGCGUUUUUGUGACGGUACCUGGAGAAGAAGCACCGGCUAACUACGUG
rnacentral:rRNA from 1 species